UACGGAGGAUGCAAGCGUUAUCCGGAAUGAUUGGGCGUAAAGCGUCCGCAGGUGGCUAUGUAAGUCUGCUGUUAAAGAGUGAGGCUCAACCUCAUAAAAGCAGUGGAAACUACACAGCUAGAGUGCGUUCGGGGCAGAGGGAAUUCCUGGUGUAGCGGUGAAAUGCGUAGAGAUCAGGAAGAACACCGGUGGCGAAGGCGCUCUGCUAGGCCGCAACUGACACUGAGGGACGAAAGCUAGGGGGAGCGAAUGGG
rnacentral:rRNA from 1 species